rnacentral:lncRNA from 1 species
UAGCAACCAUGGAAACAGCAAGGUUGUAGUAGUCCAUGUACAUGGAGGCCUGCUACAGCACCCCAACACACGCAUUCAAAUCUAAAAUUCCCAUUGCUUUUAUCAGGUCCAGGAGACCUAACACAUCCUUCAAGCCUCCUUUGGAACCAACACACAGGGCUUCCACUGCUGAAUCAUGUUUGGUGACACUCUCUGAACUGGACUGAUGGUAUCCUGACACUACUGAACUGGACUGCUGCUAUUUUGACAACAGAGAUUGGAAUCACCCCCAAAGAACUACUUCUAAAUGGAUCCUCAUCUGCUUGUCCUAUUUACCAUUCUUCCUACCCUGCCUUUGGACAGUAGGCUAGAAAGGAGAAUCAAAGCAUUUGAGAACCCUUAUUAAAGUUGGUUUUGAAAAAUCUAAACCUACAAGGAAGCAGAGAAAAUGAAUGCUAGUACUUUGCCCACUUUCUCCUUUUUAUUCAGUCUGGGACCCCCUAGACCAUAGAAUGGUACUACCCAUACCCACAUCCUAGCUAUUUCAGUUAAAUUUUUCAAGAUAUAUGCUAUCUAUCUAGCUAUCAUUUAUCUAUCUAUCUAUAUCUCAACAUCUCGAUAUGUGUGUGUGUGUGUGUGUGUGUGUGUGUAUAUCAAGAUGCAGAACUCUCAGCUACCUCUCUAGUACCAUACCUGCCUGCAUAACAGCAUGCUUCCCACCAUGAAGAUAACGGACUCAAUCUCUGAAAGUGUCAACCAGCCCUAAUUAAAUGUUUUGCUUCAUAAGACUUUCUUUGGUCAUGUUGCCUCUUCCCAGCAAUAGAAAUCACAAUGAAGACACAUACAGAAGAUAUCUUCAAUUAAUGCUGUCAUGACUCCCACAAAAAUCUUAGUCUCCAUUUUGCAAAUCACUUUGACAUCUGCAACAGAUCUGCAACCCCAGACAGAUGCUGGUAGAUUGUCGAAAUGUCAAGCUUGUAGUCCCCUUUGCAUUGGUAAGUCAAGAGCUGAUAUUUUUCUAAGGGGAGUUAACGAAACUGUGAGUACAUGUUAUACAACCUUUAUAUGGAUUUUCUGUUACUUUCUACCAUAAUCAGAAAAUAGAAAAUUAACUCAUCUUUAUGUGGAGGAUGGGAAAUAUAAUACAUUUACAAAGGUAUGAGUGAUGGAGAAAACAAUACAUGUAGUUUGUGACAAACUUCAGUAUAAGAAUCAAGAUGGAGGGCAUUAGGAUUCUAAGGAACGUGUUACCUGCAACUACCAAGCACUGCAAAUGAUGGAGUUACAGAUCAGCAACAUUGGGUGAUCAUGUGGCCAGAAUCACCCACUUGGAAAUGGGUUCUGUCAUAUUCAGUGACUUAGACCCUGCAGUGAUCAGUCAUAGGACAGAGUGUCUUGGGUCCACACUAGUGUACUCUCAGUUGUAUUCCCUAAACAAGGAUAAGGAUUUGAGCACUGUUUGUAGACAAGUGAGCUCCACCUGUGAGUAGAUCGAAGAUGACUGAAUGUGAGUGCCUUUCAGUUCAACUUAGUGGUGGCCUUGAAGCUAAAAGUGACAAUCUUCCGGCUUGUCUUGAGGUCACCUGGUUAUCUGCUUGGGAUGAAUAUGUAACACCCAAAAUGAAUUCAAGACCACCCAGGACCUUCCCCCUUCGAAAAGGACUUUCCAAACUGAACUAGCAGGCAAAGUGCAGAGCCAGAUAAGGAAGCUGGCUGACUUAACAAAUGUAAAAACAUAGUUUUAGCGGUCAAAAUGAUUAAGCCUGCAGCUACCAAAACAAUAUUAGCUGUUCUCAGAGAAACAACCAUAACAAGAUUAGCAAUUCUCCUGCCCCCUCCACACUGAAUUCUGACAAAGGCAACAAACAACCCUGACCUUGUUUCGAGAAUUCCCCUGACGUUACUAGCUGUGACAUUAAUGUACUAUUACUUUGCUGACCAAAUCAUAAUAACCCCCAUCGGGGCAAGCAAAGUGAGUCACUAGGCCAAAGGGUUACUUAGUCAGUAUACAAAUCAACCAAUGCCUGAAAGGGUUACUUGCUACACCAAUGAGAACCCUGUUGCUCAAAUCUGCCCCUUACAAAGGUAUAAAAAAAUGUGUUCUUUCUUUGUUCUUGUUCUCUCCUCUGUUGGAUCAAUAAAAAUCCUCAUGCAUUUUGCAACAAUGGUGGCACUCUCUGUGGUCCUUAUGAGUAAGGGUCUUUUGACUACCUACAACAUUUGGUGAAUUGGCUUGGAAGGCCCUCUUCAGGGGGACACAGACUCGGUGCAUCAGAGGCUUUGGCAGUACCAGAGUGCCUCUUGUUAGCAGAAAAGUGCUUUCACUUUGAGAUGUCAGUGGCUCAGUGCAGCCAGCUGUGAGAGCUGCACUCCCUUCCGUGCUAGAUGUGUCUUCUCUUCUUAGGCGACCCCGCUGUGAGCUCUGGCAAUGAGUCUGUUCCAAGCUCCAGCGAGGGAGGCAUCUGCCCAUUUGGGGCUUCUCCUAUCCAAGGUAAAGAGCGCCUUCGAGUCUAACCGCCAGACUCUGAUGAGGGUCUCAUCUCUGUGGGGCUAGAAAAAGCCCCAACAAUCUGACCAAGGUAAUAGGAAGUUACAGAAGUUAGAAGAAGGACAGGGUAAGUCGGUAAGAAAGUGCAGAGGGGGAGAAACGAAGGAAGAAAGAGAGGAUGAGGAAGACAGAUGUGUAUAGAGGUCUGGAAAGAAGUGAGCUAAGACUGUAAGGGAGAGCAAAACUUCAGCAGACUCAGGAGAGAUGGAUGACAGUGGCAAAUAGAGAGAUUAACAGUGAGGGGAAGUGGAAAUAGAGAUGAAGGAGAUUAGAGAGGUCUGAGAUGAGAGAGAUACUCUGAAUGGGAAAUAUUUAGAGUAGGAACCAGUAAGUAAGAGACAAAGAAAAAGAAAGGGUUGGUAUACAAAGACAGAGACCAGAGUCAGAAUCAGAGAUGUGCAAUGAGACAGAAGGAUAAACCAGGGUAGAGGCAAACUAUGAGAGAAAAUGAGUGACAGGAUGGGGACGUGAUAAUUAUAUAACAUCCAAAGGAAGCAAAGACAAGGAGGAGGAACAAUAUAUAU